GUGAUCACUUUGGCAGCACAUACACUAAAAUUGAAACGAUAGAAAAAAUAUUAACAAGGCCCCUGCACAGGAUGACAUGCAAAUUCAUAAAGCAUUCAUAAUUAUC